UAGGGAAUCUUCGGCAAUGGACGAAAGUCUGACCGAGCAACGCCGCGUGAGUGAAGAAGGUUUUCGGAUCGUAAAACUCUGUUGUUAGAGAAGAACAAGGACGUUAGUAACUGAACGUCCCCUGACGGUAACUAACCAGAAAGCCACGGCUAACUACGUGCCAGCAGCCGCGGUAAUACGUAGGUGGCAAGCGUUGUCCGGAUUUAUUGGGCGUAAAGCGAGCGCAGGCGGUUUCUUAAGUCUGAUGUGAAAGCCCCCGGCUCAACCGGGGAGGGUCAUUGGAAACUAGGGGACAUGAGUGCAGAAGAGGUGAGUGGAAGUCCAUGUGUAGCGGUGAAAUGCGUAGAUAUAUGGAGGAACACCAGUGGCGAAGGCGGCUCUCUGGUCUGUAACUGACGCUGAGGCUCGAAAGCGUGGGGAGCAAACAGG
rnacentral:rRNA from 1 species